ensembl:lncRNA
GGCGAUGUGUAAUACUCUUUGGCUAGUGUAUAGUGUUGUAUACUUGCACGGUCAUAUAGGACAUAUACCUCCAUUUAUGUGUCUCUCUCUUCUGCCUCAGUUUUAUCACAUUGUCAUUAUAUAGACAGAAUAAUUUAUUUGAUGAAGGGAAAGUUAUUUUAAUAACCCUAGUGCUUGUGAGGUUUCCCCUUUAACUUUUGUUUACUUUUACUUUGAAGAACAGUAGAACCUUUUAUUGUUCCAACAUAGUAGGAUUUUUUAUCUAUUUUCCAUUGAGCUUUUUGUGUUUGUUUAUUUAAUAUUGUUCUUUAACAACUUUCCACAACCCAUUAUAUCUUUAUGGUUAAUUAUUUUCUCACUUAUUUUAUAAUUUUGGAUUUUGAGAUCAUCAUUAAUGAGGUUUUUCGGUGGGAAUUCUGUGUGGCAUUUGAAGGUGUGUCCUUCCAGAGUUUCGUUUUUUGUUUUUGGGUUUUUUUUUUUUUUUCUGGGAUCCUAGUGACCUCAUUGUUUCCAAUAUAUAUUUGAACGCUCAAUAUGAGUAAGGAAGCCUAUGGUGGCAAAUUCUAAGAGGAGGCAUUUUUCCUCCAUCCCUAUGACAGCCAGAAUCCCUAGUUAUCUUCUGUGCUUGUCUACACCUUUAAUGAGGAUGUAGCCCUCUGAGGGUUCUAGUUGUAUAUGGGUGUUUGUUUUAGCUCUUCUGCAGACCUAGGUCCUUGUCUUCUGUACCGUGUAAAGGAUAAUGCUAAAGCCCUAGCUUACCAAGAUUGACUUUCCCCUAAGAGACAGCUAAAAUAUUCUUUCACAGUUUUACCUUCUAUUUUUCAUUUCAGUUUUUGUUUUUGUGUCCUGGGAAGCUAUCAUACUAUUUGUAAACUUAGCUAGUAAUUGAAAAGGUUAUUUCUGAAAAAAAAAAUUUGCCUUUCACUUCUAAGUGUUAUUUUCAGAUUAUCUUAUUUAUCGUAUUAUAGAAACAGAAAUCUCAAGGAGUUGUAUCUUACUGAAUGUGUGUGGGCUUGGAAGCCACAGAAGUAAGUUACAUGGUUUAUCCGUAGACAUUUAAACCCAACCCUGUCCUUAAAAUAAUCUAAGUGGAAUAGAUUUCUCUCUUUCAUAAUUGUGAAAUACUGCAAGUAUUCCAAACUAAACAUGUUUACAAAUCUGUUAAGUUUUUGUAAAUGUGAGUUUACUAUCUAGCCAAGGUUUUUAUCUUUGGAAUUUAAUUCAAUUUCUAGGAUAGUCUCUCCCACUUAAUGUAUUUCUUUAUUCUAAAGUGAUUUAAUAGUGAAAAAGAAAACUGUUUUAUAGUGUACAGAUGCUCUGUUUGUGCUGCUAUACCAAAAUGCCUGAGACUGAUUGAUUUAUAAACAACAGAAAUUUAUUUCUCAUAGCUCUGGAGGCUGGGAAGUGCAAGAUCAAGGUGCCAACAGGUUUGGUGUCAGGCAAAGACCCGUUUCUCAUAGAGUGCACACAGUGUCCUUACAUGGCAGAAGAGAUGGAAGGGCAAAAAAGAGUGGACACUGCUUGAAAUCUCUUUUAUUAAGAGUCUUAAUCUCAUUCACAAGGGAGGAGCACUCGUGACCUAAUCUCCUCCUCAAAGUCCUGCCUCUUUGAGAUUAAGUUUCAGCAUGAGUUCUGGAGGGACUUAGCAGAUGCACACACAGGAAAUAUUAUUUAUAAGAUUAAGACCUGUAUAUUGAUGUAAAGAUGUUCAUCAUAAGUGAAAAGAGUAGGUUUCAGAAUUGUAUGUUGUAAUAUGAUUCCACUUAUGUGUUUCUGAGAUACAUAAAGUUUAUAAAAUGUCUGUUUAAAAUCAUCUGGUAGAUUAUAGACCAAACUAUUGGUAUUGCUUACUGUUGAGUAACAUUUUGGAUGAAGAAGAGACUUUUAAUUUCCAAACUUUUCUAUUGAUUGAAACUUUUUAGAGUGAACAUAUGUUAAUUUUAUAGCUAUCUGGCUAGUAUUUUUAUAAAAAGUAUUGAUUUAAAACUAGUCAUAAUACAUGUUCUACGUCAGUUGAAAAGCUUUAAUAAAAACUAGCUAAACCUGUUGGACAUCUUUUCUUUUGAUGUUUUAAGAGAUUAUAUUGAUGAAUGAGAUAUAAAAAUGAGAAUAUAAUUAAUUUCAGUGACUACUUCAUUCAUUCAUUCAUUCCAUAAAUAUUUAUUGGGUUGCUUUUCUGUGCCAGGCACUGUUCUGCACACUAGAGAUACAACGAUGAGCAAGUCAGAUUUUUAAAAAGCAAAAACUUGACUGGGCACAGUGGCUCACACCUGUAAUUCCAGCACUUCAGGAGGCUAAGGCGGGAAGAUUGCUUUAGCCCAGAAAUUCAAGACCAGCCUGGGCAAGAUAAUGAGACCCCAUCUCUGCAAAAAAUAAAAAACUAGCCAGGUGUGGUGGCGUGCAUCUGUGCCCCCAGCCACUCAGGAGGCUGAGGUGGGAGGAUCACUUGAGCCCAGGAGGUCGAGGCUGCAAUGAGCUGCUAUCGCACCACUGUGCUCCAACCUGGGCGACAUAAUGAGACCGUGUCUCAAAAAAAAAAAAAAAA